UCAUUAUGUGACGCAUGCGUGCCCCGGUGACAGAAAAAUUGAAAUUCCUGGGUUAAAGGCUACUGUUGUUGUUCCCCACGUUAACCUGGUGAUGAUGAUCAAGUUUUUAAAGAUAAUACUCGGUACGGGCUUUGCUUUCAUUUUCAUCUUGGUUACGAUAGCGUCAAUUAGAACUCUGUCACUGGACGUCAACGCUGGACUUCAACUCGCACGCUGGGAAACGGUGAGUAAUAUCUCCUUCGAUAUAGACCACCGUAAACGAGAGGAGCUCCUAACUCGCUUUAAAGAGGCCAUUCGCAUCCCCACUGUGUCAUUUUCACCCACGGAGAGCAACACAACUGCACUGCUCGACUUCAACUCGUUUCUCCGAAGAGCCUUCCCUACAAUUUUUAGUUCAAGUCUGGUCCAGCAUGAGCUGGUGGCAAACUACAGCCACUUGUUUUGGAUCCCUGGAUCCAAUUCCGACCUGCUCCCCUACCUGCUGUUGGCUCACAUCGACGUGGUGCCCGCCACAGAGUCUGACGGCUGGGUGGCUCCGCCUUUUUCUGCACAGGAGAUAGAAGGUUUCAUCUAUGGUCGAGGGACCAUAGAUGACAAAGGCUCUUUAAUGGGUAUUCUUCAAGCCUUGGAAUACUUGCUGAUUAAAGGCUAUGCACCACGUAGAGGAUUUUAUAUUGGUCUCGGCCAUGAUGAGGAAGUCAGUGGUUAUCAGGGAGCUGUGAACAUUGCACGACUUUUGAAACAGCGAAACACUCGACUGGCAUUUGUACUAGACGAGGGUCUUGCUGUGCUUGAUGGGGUCAUCAGCGGUCUCGAUGGACCCGCUGCUUUAAUCGGUGUAAGCGAAAAGGGGUCUGCCACUGUUAAGCUGAGUGUUUCCAUGCUUCCUGGACAUUCAUCAAUGCCUUCAAGGGAGAGCUGUAUUGGGAUCUUAGCAGCAGCAGUCAAAAAACUGGAGGACAACCCCAUGCCCAUGUUAUUUGGUUACGGACCUGAACGUGAAACAUUUGAACACCUAGCUCACAAGUUUGGGGUUCCAAUGAAGUUCAUACUUUCAAACUUGUGGCUGUUUUCUCCACUUGUUGGCAGGUUUCUUCAACAAAAACCAGACUCAAAUGCCUUUGUAAGGACAACUACUGCAGUUACAAUGUUUAAUGCAGGUGUAAAGACAAAUGUAAUCCCUUCCUUUGCUGAAGCAUAUGUGAAUUUACGAAUCCACUCAGCACAGUCAUUACAAGAGGUGCUGGACCUCAUCCAGUUAACACUUGGAGACCACCGUGUAAAAAUAGAGCUCAUUGAGGGCUUUGAUCCUUUACCCGUCAGUUCAUCCAAUGAGAAAUCAUUUGGUUUCCAGAUCAUCAAGAAAACCUUGUUGGACAUGUUUCCGACAGUAGCGGUAGCUCCAGAGUGAUGCAAUUCCCAAGCCUACGAUCAUGCCUUCUGUUGCACGCAAGAAUGAUAGAAGCUGAGGAGUCCAAAACUGUGGUGGUCCUAGCCCACACUCCCCUUUACUGGCUUUUAUUGUAGCCAUUGUUCAAUAAAAACCCUUCACUCCACUUCCGUUUUCUGGUCGCACUUUGGUCCACAUCGACUUUGCCAACUUUGCCGCGACAUAAUCAUCUGGCCUUCAGAAAUGGACCAAGCGACCGCCGACUCCUUCCAAGACACCCUCGGACACCAGGUAAUCGUGCUGGGCAAGCAUGAGCAGGUGCUAUGUAGCCUAGGAGAAACGCUCAGGACAAUUUCUAUGGACUUGCAGCUGGUCACGACACAGCUCUUGCAAUCCCCCACAUCCAGGGACGGUCCUACUGGAUCUGUGAGUAGUCCAACUGGUGGUCUACCAACCCCCCGUUGGCCGGACGUAUAUAUUCCAACCCCUGAAUGUUAUUCUGGGGAGUUGGCUUCUUGCAGUCGUUUUUUGCUCAAUUGCAGUCUAGUUUUUAAUAUGCAACCUUCUAGUUAUACCUCCGAUGCCGCCAGGAUUGCUUUUUUGUGUUAAUCUGUUGAGGGGAAAGGCUGGUCAGUGGGCGACUGCACUGUGGGAGAGUAACUCACCGGUGUUAAACACUUUUGAGGCUUUUUCUGGGGAACUAUGCAGGGUAUUUGAUCACCUUGUUCGUGGGAGAGAGGCCAGAAACCGCCUCUUCUCCCUCCAGCAGGGUUCCAAAUCGGUGGCAGACUUUUCAAUCGCGUUUUGUAUUUUGGCCGCAGAAAGUGGCAGGGAUGAGCUAGCCUUAGUGUCUAUUUUUACACGCAAUUUGGCAGAUAAUAUCCAAGACGAACUAGCAACACGGGAUGAACCUUCCACCCUAGAAGAGCUAAUCACCCUAGCCAUAAAGAUUGAUAAUCGCAUCAGGGAACGUAAGAGGGAGAAAGCUAGUGAAUCACGCCUGUUCCCGCCACUCAUGUCACCAUGGGCUGGUGCAGUCAACCCACCCCCUAAUGCUACUCCGACACUGACACUCCCUUCUCCUUUGGAGGAGCCCAUGCAACUUGGGUGAACCCAGUUAGCGCCGAACGAGCGCCACAGGCGCCGCCAAGAUAACCUUUGCUUUUACGGCGGACAAACCGGACACUUUGCGAUCUCCUGCUCAGCACGGCUAAAAGACAGGGCUCACCAGGGAAAGAGCACGCUAGUGAACCAAACGUCCUCAAAUCCUCGCCUUCUGUCACGACUCGUACUCCCUGCUAGCAUCUCCCAUGGUUUGGUAGCUAAGCCACUUCAGGUUCUCAUUGAUUCAGGUGCUGAUGACAGUUUCAUGGAUGAAAGAUUUGCGAACGAAGCCAAAAUCCCUUUCAAACCCCUUGGGGCCCCCAAGGUAGUAGAAGCCGUGGACGGUAGAAAGCUGUUUUCGGUAACCCAUCGCACCAUCCCUCUCAUGCUCAAGGUCUCGGGAAAUCAUCAUGAAUUAAUACAAAUGUUUAUUAUCUCCUCACCAGUAGCACAUGUCAUCCUUGGUCUCUCCUAGCUUAAACACCACAACCCAAACAUCAACUGGACGGAGGGAAAGAUCGUGGGAUGGAGCAAUCGCUGCCUUUUGGAAUGUUUUGGCUCGGCGCACCCACUUGGUAGACCGGUAAGAAAGCCAACCUGUCCGCCAGUGCCUCCUGACCUCACCAGUGUGCCCCCUGAAUACCAUGACUUGGCGACAGUGACCCUCUGACGAAGGCGGAAGUGCUCGCCGAAACAUGUCAGGUAAAUAAAACCACCUACUAUUGCCUGGGAUAAAAGAAAAGGUUUGAUGAAUUUACAAGUGUAGGCAAAAUUAACUCUAUACAACUAAUGGCAAACCUGAUGCACUAUCACGGCUACAAUCUCCCCAUCUGGACACAGAAGACCCUGGGCCCAUUCUUCCCUCAGCCUGCUUGGUCGGUGCAGCUAGAUGGGAGAUCACAUCACUGGUCAGGGAAGCUCAGAAGGCUGAUCCGGAUCCAGGAAACGGUCCCCCAAACCGACCUAUAUGUCCCAUCUGGGGUGCGGUCUCAAGUCCUGGAAUUGAGCCAUUCGUCCAAGCUAACCUGCCACCCUGGGGUCCAUAGGACCCUCUGUUUCCUCCGACAAUUGUUCUGGUGGUCUGGUAUGGCUAAAGAUGCCUGUAACUUUGCCAAUGCCUGCACAGUCUGUGCUCAAGGGAAGGCCUCCCAUCAGCCACCCGCUGGUAUGUUAUGCCCUCUCCCUGUUCCCAGUCGACCUUGGUCCCACAUCGCAGUUGAUCUUGUAACCGGUCUGCCUCCCUCUGAAGGUAACACAGUUAUCCUUACCAUUAUCAAUCAUUUUCCCAAGUCUGUUCACGAUGUUCCUCUUCCCAAACUACCCUCUGCUCUUGAAACCGCCAAUCUCUUGGUCAAGCAUGUUUUCAGGCUUCAUGGCCUCCCUUUAGACAUCGUUUCAGACCGUGGUCCCCAGUUCUCCUCGGUGGUGUGGAAAGAAUUCUGCAUGGCGGUGGGGGCGACAGCCAGUCUAUCUUUAGGAUACCAUCCCCAGACCAACGGCCAGACGGAAAGGGCCAACCAGGACCUAGAAGCUGCUCUGCGUUGUGUUACCGCCCACCAUCCGGUCUCCUGGAGCACUUCCCUUCCAUGGGUUGAGUAUGCCCAUAAUUUGCUCAUCUGCUUGGCCACUUGCAUGUGCCCUUUCAUGGCUUGUAAUGGCUUUGAGCCUCCGUUGUUCCCAGAGCAGGAAAAGGAAAUAGCCGUUCCUGCUGUGAAGGACCACGUUGGCAGCAUUAGGGAAAUCUGGAAGACUAAGGACUGCCCUCGCUCGCACCGCUGAGAAAAACAAGCGACUGGCCGAUCUCCAUCGUUCACCAGCCCCAGAAUACAAGGUGGGACAGGAGGUCUGGUUGUCCGCCCGGGACCUCCCCCUGCAUGUAGAGUCAUGCAAAAUUGCCCCCCGCUUCGUGGGCCCUUACAAAAUAACAAAGAUCAUCAACCCCUCUGCCGUUCGGUUGGACCUCCUGGCAUCCGUGAAUGUCCACCCUACCUUUAACGUUUCCCUUCUCAUUUCUGUUUCCUCCAGUGACCUGUGUCCUCCUGCCAUUGCACCUCCCCUGCCCCUUCUCAUUGAUGGCCAACCCGCAUUUGCAGUCUCCAAGAUUCUUGAUGUCCGGCCUCGCGGCCGUGGAUUCUGGUGGAAUAGGUGGGCUAUGGCCCUAAGGAGAGGUCAUGGAUCUCCCGUAGCCUUAUUUUGGACCCGUCCCUCUUGCGGGACUUCUAUGCUGCUAACCCUGGGAAGCUGGGAAGGCCGCCCGGUGGCGUCCGUUGGGGGGGUUACUGUGGUGGUCCUAGCCCACACUCCCCUCUACUGGCUUUUAUUGUUGUUACACUUCCUGUUUUAUGUGGCAUGAGUUCAACCUUGGCAGACCUGGGAGUUCACCUGCAGCUCAUCACAAUCAACACUGCUUGUAAGGAGCGGCCUAGGCAGUAAGCAGGUGCCAGAUGAUUCUGCCAAUCACCAGUGGUACAGUGGCCAACUACGCCUGAAGUUUUUGACAAUUGUUUAUCGAAUUCUUGAUUAAUCUUGUUCUUUGCCAUCAGGACACCCACCCAUCAAGUCCUCACAGCCACAGCUACAGCCAUAGCCAUUGUUCAAUAAAAACCCUUCACUCCACUUCCGUUUUCUGGUCGCACUUUGGUCCACAUCGACUUUGCCAACUUUGCCGCGACACAAAACAUUCAUAAAUCUUAACUAUUUGGGUGAUUGUUUUAUUUUCAGAGGUUAGGAUUGGAGAAAAGACAUCUGUUUUGCAAGACCUCGCUACUGGUGAAGAUUGAUACAGUAUAAAUUUCCUCAAUAUACUUGUACUUAUACGUAUAAACACAAUAAAAUGUGCUUUUUACGUGGGAAAUUACCAUAUGCACGAAGUCUUCAGAGGAAUAGAUUUUAAUGCAUUAUGUAUGGAAACAGUUAACGUUGAAUUGGGGGUUUAAUUUAUCACAUUGAUUAUCAAGGGGAGAAAAAUCAUUUUCCCCUUUUUUUGUCAUUUUGCCCCACACAACAAACCAAACCUUGAACAUCAGGAGCAAAUUUUCACAGAAAAUGAUAUGGAACACUUUUUCUUCUUUUUAAAUCACUAAAUAUGAUAAACAUCAAUUCAUUGUGACUUUUACUGUGCAGGGUGUAGUCAUUCAUUCUGAGACCCUUGCUGACAGCAAACCAGGACUGUGUCAUGUGUUUGAGGUUUUCACAUCUCCUUAAUUGUAUAAUGACAACAUUAAAGAUAAUAAUCAUGAGUACAGUGUGUUAUUAGGCUGCUUAAAGAGCAACACCACACCUGUUCGAGCUUUAAUUGAUACUACUGUGGAUUUGUGCCAAAGCUAUCAGAAACUAAAUUCCUCUCUUUAUUCUUUCGUUUCCUCGUCUUAAUGUUAUUUUUCUCAGGUUUUCUGUAGCACUCCUUCCACACGCUUUCACCAAUUCACUUCGCUCCAACUUUGUCACAAAUCACAUUCAUUUCCUAUUUAACAUUCGAUAUUUCAGCUUGGAAAGCUUCCCAUUCCUCUUUCAUGACCUUCACAAGAUUCCAACUUCGAUAUGUUUACCAAACAUUUCACAUAUUUUCAACUCUUCAUAUUUUUGACCGAAAACUAACAAUUUUCCUGUUAGGGUGGCGUGAGCAAGGAGGGGAUCCCAAAGCAGACAGCCGGUUGUGAGGAUGGAUAUUUUAUUGGUGAACAAAAUGAUGACACGAGCGUCGAGGCAGAAGGCGGGUGACGUCAGGCUUGGAGGGCUUAGCAGGGAGGCGAAGCGGAGGCUCGAGGAGAGGCAGGCGUGGAAUCCGACAAUCGGCGCGCAUAAGACAAGUCCUGGGGCAAGAGCAAAAAUGUCAGCAACUAGUAAUCAAAACGAUGAAUCAAGGAAAUGCGAGAUACAACUGACGGAAGUAACCAGACGAGUUGAUCGGGCGACGAGGUGGUGGCGUCUGUCAUUACCCGAUCGUGACGGGUGCAUCGAUUGUGACGGUUUGCUACUGCGCACGCGCAGAUCAACGCCAUUUUCUCCCGAGGGAUGACGGGAGAUAUAGAUUUAUGCGUUAGGCUCGGACAUUGAGGGUUUUUUAUGCGUGUGUGUACGCCGCUAUCUUCGAGUAGCAUGAAAUGCUUGAAUAUGUCUUAAUAGAUACUUCGAGUGAUCCGAGAAGAUGAAUGUGGAUACCUAGCAUCUUCCAAGGUACCUGGUCGACGGAACGCUUCCAACUACUCAAGUGGGCGCCGUAAGAUUCGACGAAUGGUGCGUGAUUUCAUUGUUAAAGAUAAAAGACCCCCCAAUGAAAUAUAUGCGCCUGGUCAUCAAGUCAAAGGGGAAGCAGACUAUCCUCAUGGAGUGUCAAAAUAACUCUGGGAACUAGAGCGGCGUCGAGGCCAUUUCUAGCUUCUAUUGGCCAACAAUGAUUCAGGACAUCAAUGAAUGGGCAUGGGCACAGAUUUGCCCUCUGGACAGAGAAAGCGUCCCCUCUUCUUCAGGGAUCUCUACAGCCUGUCUUCAGGGUUCCAAAGGCAACCCCCUCUAUAUCUUACUAAACUUCAAUCAGACAGUUGCCAGAAGUAUUGACUGCCAACAUACAUGAAAAAGUUGUCCUUCGGGAAGGUGACCGUGCUAUAUGCACAUUGGCGCUUGUGUGGUCCAGAAUCAGAGACCUUGGUUCUCCAGACUCCUUCAGAAGACGGCCACAUUUUAAAUGGCUUAACAGUGUCUGGACAUGGAGCAGGUUCUGUGCAGAAUUCAGGAGAGAGUAUUACAACAUGUACACCAUUGAGAUCUGCCAUGGGUAUGGGGAGCAGUUCAAACAAUCCCCACGAGGAUUUGUUGGAGAGGAGAAAAGGGGUAAAGUAACGGCGUUUUACUGCGAGGAGGAAACACCUACAGGAUACUGCAGUUGUUCCUGCUGUCCAAUGCAUUAAACUUUAAUGUUUUUGUUUGAGUUUGUUCUACACAUGCACAUUAAAACUGUUUCAGCUUAA